UGAAUACGAGAUGCUACGGCGUCGAAGCAGUCUAUGUCAUACUUCCAAGAAAAGCUUGCACUGUCAUAAACAAAUAAUGCCUGUACCAUAACCGACACAGGUGGGUAGGUAGAGUAUACUAAGGGGCGCGAGAUAACUCUCUCUAAGGAACUCGGCAAAAUGACUCCGUAACUUCGGGAGAAGGAGUGCCUUAUUUAUAAGGUUGCAAUAACAAGAUCCAAGCAACUGUUUACCAAAAACACAGGUCUCCGCUAAGUCGUAAGACGAUGUAUGGGGGCUGACGCCUGCCCAGUGCCAGAAGGUUAAAGAAGUUGGUUAGCAUCCGCGAAGCUGAUAACUGAAGCCCUGGUGAACGGCGGCCGUAACGAUAACGGUCCUAAGGUAGCGAAAUUCCUUGUCGGGUAAGUUCCGACCCGCACGAAAGGCGUAAUGAUUUGGAUACUGUCUCGGAGAGGGGCUCGGUGAAAUAGACUUGUCUGUGAAGAUGCGGACUACCUGCACCAGGACAGAAAGACCCUAUGAAGCUUUACUGUAACCUGAAAUUGAAAUUGGACUUUACUUGCGCAGUAUAGGUGGGAGGCGUUGAGAAUAUUCUUGCGGGAUUAUUGGAGCCAUCAGUGAGAUACCACUCUUGUAAUGUUAGAUUUCUAACUUUGUAUCAUUAUCUGGUCAAAGAACAGUUUCAGGCGGGCAGUUUGACUGGGGCGGUCGCCUCCUAAACGGUAACGGAGGCGCACAAAGGUUUCCUCUGAACGGGUAGAAAUCGUAUCUAGAGUGUAAAGGCAUAAGGAAGCUUGACUGUGAGACCUACAAGUCGAGCAGGGACGAAAGUCGGUCUUAGUGAUCUGACGGUGCUGAGUGGAAAGGCCGUCACUCAACGGAUAAAAGUUACUCUAGGAUAACAGGCUGAUCUCCCCCAAGAGUUCACAUCGACGGGGAGGUUUGGCACCUCGAUGUCGGCUCAUCGCAUCCUGGGGCGGUAGUACGUCCCAAGGGUUGGGCUGUUCGCCCAUGAAAGCGGUACGCGAGCUGGGUUCAGAACGUCGUGAGACAGUUCGGUCCAUAUCCGGUGUAGGCGUUAGAAUAUUGAGAGGAGCCUUCUUUAGUACGAGAGGACCGAGAAGGACAUACCUCUGGUGUACCAGUUAUCGUGCCAACGGUAAACGCUGGGUAGCUAUGUGUGGAGUGGAUAACCGCUGAAAGCAUCUAAGUGGGAAGCCCACCUCAAGAUAAGUAUUCUCAC
rnacentral:rRNA from 1 species